rnacentral:rRNA from 1 species
UACGGAGGGUGCGAGCGUUAUCCGGAUUUACUGGGUUUAAAGGGUGUGUAGGCGGAUUAUUAAGUCAGUGGUGAAAUCCCGGGGCUCAACCCCGGAACUGCCAUUGAUACUAUUAGUCUUGAAUACUGUGGAGGUGAGCGGAAUGUGUCAUGUAGCGGUGAAAUGCUUAGAGAUGACACAGAACACCGAUUGCGAAGGCAGCUCACUACGCAGUGAUUGACGCUGAGGCACGAAAGCGUGGGGAUCAAACAGG